rnacentral:rRNA from 1 species
UGGGGAAUAUUGCACAAUGGGCGCAAGCCUGAUGCAGCCAUGCCGCGUGUAUGAAGAAGGCCUUCGGGUUGUAAAGUACUUUCAGUCGGGAGGAAGGUGGUAAGGUUAAUAACCUUAUCAAUUGACGUUACCGACAGAAGAAGCACCGGCUAACUCCGUGCCAGCAGCCGCGGUAAUACGGAGGGUGCAAGCGUUAAUCGGAAUUACUGGGCGUAAAGCGCACGCAGGCGGUCUGUCAAGUCGGAUGUGAAAUCCCCGGGCUCAACCUGGGAACUGCAUUCGAAACUGGCAGGCUAGAGUCUUGUAGAGGGGGGUAGAAUUCCAGGUGUAGCGGUGAAAUGCGUAGAGAUCUGGAGGAAUACCGGUGGCGAAGGCGGCCCCCUGGACAAAGACUGACGCUCAGGUGCGAAAGCGUGGGGAGCAAACAGG